rnacentral:rRNA from 1 species
CAGCAGCCGCGGUAAUACGUAGGGGGCAAGCGUUGUUCGGAAUUAUUGGGCGUAAAGGGCAUGUAGGCGGUUUUGUAAGCCUGGUGUGAAAUCCUGCAGCUUAACUGUAGAAUUGCAUCGGGUACUGCAAGACUUGAAUCACAGAGGGGAAACUAGAAUUCCAGGUGUAGGGGUGGAAUCUGUAGAUAUCUGGAAGAAUACCGGUGGCGAAGGCGGGUUUCUAGCUGAUGAUUGACGCUGAGGUGCGAAAGUGCGGGGAGCAAACAGGAUUAGAUACCCUGGUAGUCCGCACCGUAAACUAUGUACACUAGGUGUAGGGGCAUGAGUCUCUGUGCCAAAGCUAACGCAAUAACUGUACCGCCUGGGAAGUAUGCUCGCAAGGGUGAAACUCAAAGGAAUUGACGG